rnacentral:pre_miRNA from 13 species
GUGUGUGGGUUGAUUAGGCAGUGUAAUGUUAGCUGGCUGCAAUGUAGGAAUCAGCAGCUACAAGCACUACCACAUUAGCUCAUGAUUU